UACGGAGGAGGCAAGCGUUCUACGGAAUUAUUGGGCGUAAAGCGUCCUUAGGUGGUUGGCCAAGUCUGCUGUCAAAGGGUGGGGCUUAACCUCAUAAAGGCAGUGGAAACUGGCGAGCUAGAGUGCGGUAGGGGUAGGGGGAAUUCCCAGUGUAGCGGUGAAAUGCGUAGAGAUUGGGAAGAACAUCGGGGGCGAAAGCGCCCUGCUGGGCCUGCACUGACACUGAGGGACGAAAGCUAGGGGAGCGAAAGGG
rnacentral:rRNA from 1 species